UACGUAGGGUGCGAGCGUUAAUCGGAAUUACUGGGCGUAAAGCGUGCGCAGGCGGCGCGUUAAGACAGGUGUGAAAGCCCCGAGCUUAACCUGGGAAUGGCAUUUGGGACUGCAAGGCUUGAGUGCGGCAGAGGAGACUGGAAUUCCUGGUGUAGCAGUGAAAUGCGUAGAUAUCGGGAAGAACACCCGUGGCGAAGGCGGCUCUCUGGGACGGUACUGACGCUGAGACGCGAAAGCGUGGGGAGCGAACAGG
rnacentral:rRNA from 1 species